rfam:Pelecanus crispus contig106876, whole genome shotgun sequence.
GCUGGGUUAGCUCAGUUGGUUAGAGCAUGGUGCUAAUAACGCCAAAGUUCAAAGGUUCAAUCCCUGCUUACUGCA